GCAAGGCUAAAACUCAAAGGAAUUGGCGGGGACCCGCACAAGCGGUGGAGCGCCUGCUUUAAUUCGAUGUUAAGCGAAGAACCUUACCGAGGUUUGACAUGCUCCUGCAUCCUUGUGGAAACACGAGGGGUCCUUAGAGGGUGGAGCACAGGUAUUGCAUGGCUGUUGUCAGCUCGUGUCGUGAGAUGUACCGUUCAGUCGGGUAACGAGCGCAACCCUUACUGUUAGUUGUAUCACUCUAGCGGAACUGCCCGGGUAACCGGGAGGAAGGUGAGGAAGACAACAAGUCGGCAUGGUCCUUAUACCUCGGGCAAGACAGGCGCUACAAUGGCCGGUACAAUGGGUUGCUACAUAGUAAUAUGAUGCUAAUCUCAUAAAGCCGGUCUCAGUUCGAAUUGAGGGCUGAAAUUCGCCCUCAUGAAGUUGGAAUCGCUAGUAAUCGCUGGUCAGCUAUACAGCGGUGAAUACGUUCUCGGGUCUUGCACACACCGCCCGUCAGGCCAGCAGAGUUGGGAAUACCUGAUGUCCUCGUUUUAACGGGGCCUAAGGUAGGUUCAGCGAUGAGGGUUAAGUCGUAACAAGGUA
rnacentral:rRNA from 1 species